AAGCAAGUGUCACUGACUGCUUUCUCAUAUAUGUGAGCAGUGUUCUUAUGUGCUAUACAAGUAGUUGAAGGUUAAUUAGCAGUAUAACUACAUAGUAAUGCUGCCAGUCUCCUUCAGACAAAU